UUAGUUUUUCCCUUCCAAAUCCGUCUACUAUUCCCUUUCGUUAGCUAAAUCUGAUGAUGAUUUGAUCGUCAGUUGAUUUAUGAUCGUCCAGAUGAAGCUGUUCCUCGCCAGACCAAUCUUCUGCAACCCGUGGACGAACGAAAGGAAGUAGUUUGCCGGCGUUGUGCCUGCAAAAAGGUCUCCGAUGCCAAAGUUAGAAAGAUUGACAAAGGAGAACAAUGGGAGUAAUUUGCUAGAGUGUUUUCUUACCCUCCCCCUUUCGGGGUUCCGGCUUUAUAUAUGUGUGUUUGCAGGUCUUCUCUUUUAGCCGUUGGUGGAGCCUUGAUGGAGGCUUUAAUCUAGCCUGGUAACGUCUUUGCUGGGUGUUAAUGAUGAGCUGCCAUUCCCAACGGUCUGAAGGUUUGAUUACUGUUUUGUAACCGUUCCGUGGAGAGUGGGAACGAAUGUUCGGAUCUUUGAGCAACGACCUUACCUCUCAGGACGAUUUUAGUAAGAUCGUCCUUAUCUUGCAUUGUAUGGACGAUUACCAUUUUGGUCGGGCUUAUCAGCUGCCCCCCUAUUCCAUGGUCGUCCAUUAUUUGGACGAUUAUAGGAAUAUGAAAAGAUUGUUAUUUAUUUUUCAGAAAUGGCGCUUCGAGUUCUGCUCUGCAUUGAUUGCGUAGUGGCGGCUGUGGCUCCUCUCAGUGCCACGUGUCAGAUUUCUACUGGUGGGAGUGCCUCGUUUCCGUUGAUCUCCCUUACGCAUAUUUUGCUCCUCACCUCCUCAGUUUCCUCCCUAACUUCCAGGUCUUCUCUUUUAGCCGUUGGUGGAGCCUUGAUGGAGGCUUUAAUCUAGCCUGGUAACGUCUUUGCUGGGUGUUAAUGAUGAGCUGCCAUUCCCAACGGUCUGAAGGUUUGAUUACUGUUUUGUAACCGUUCCGUGGAGAGUGGGAACGAAUGUUCGGAUCUUUGAGCAACGACCUUACCUCUCGGGAUGAUUUUAGUAAGAUCGUCCUUAUCUUGCAUUGUAUGGACGAUUACCAUUUUGGUCGGGCUUA